rnacentral:tRNA from 1 species
AUAAAAGUGUCCAGGGAUGGGAAUCGAACCCACAGUGUUCCACUUACCGGGCAGAUGUCAUGUCCACUAGACUACCCUUCA